rnacentral:rRNA from 1 species
UACGAAGGGUGCAAGCGUUAAUCGGAAUUACUGGGCGUAAAGCGUGCGUAGGCGGUUUGUUAAGUCUGAUGUGAAAGCCCCGGGCUCAACCUGGGAAUUGCAUUGGAAACUGGCGAGCUAGAGUGCGGUAGAGGGUGGCGGAAUUCCCGGUGUAGCGGUGAAAUGCGUAGAGAUCGGGAGGAACAUCCGUGGCGAAGGCGGCCACCUGGACCAGCACUGACGCUGAGGCACGAAAGCGUGGGGAGCAAACAGG